CCUCUUUGUAAAGUAGGAAUGGAAAGCAUCACUUGAGCUAAAAGCAUUUCAGCAAAUAUCUUCAUAAUGGAUUUGGGGAAGUACUGAAGGCCUGAUUUUGAACAGAGGGUCAAAGUAAAGCAGGCUAAGAACAAAAACCUGAGGAAUACUGAAUUGAAUUGCAUAAAAAAUACAACAUUUUGUCUUUGAUCCAAGUGGAAGUACUCUGAGGACUCCUGCUUUAGGAAGCAGCUGAGCUCCGAUAUAAGAUGUGUUGAGUCAACAGCACUGUGAACCUUUGCAGAAAGAGGACUUGUUAUUCCCUUUGUUUCUACACUCAAGACUUGCUUUGCUG
ensembl:lncRNA